rnacentral:rRNA from 1 species
GACGAACGCUGGCGGCGUGCCUAAUACAUGCAAGUAGAACGCUGAAGGAGGAGCUUGCUUCUCUGGAUGAGUUGCGAACGGGUGAGUAACGCGUAGGUAACCUGCCUGGUAGCGGGGGAUAACUAUUGGAAACGAUAGCCAAUACCGCAUAACAGUAGAUAUCGCAUGAUAGCUGCUUGAAAGGUGCAAUUGCACCACUACCAGAUGGACCUGCGUUGUAUUAGCUAGUUGGUGAGGUAACGGCUCACCAAGGCGACGAUACAUAGCCGACCUGAGAGGGUGAUCGGCCACACUGGGACUGAGACACGGCCCAGACUCCUACGGGAGGCAGCAGUAGGGAAUCUUCGGCAAUGGACGGAAGUCUGACCGAGCAACGCCGCGUGAGUGAAGAAGGUUUUCGGAUCGUAAAGCUCUGUUGUAAGAGAAGAACGAGUGUGAGAGUGGAAAGUUCACACUGUGACGGUAUCUUACCAGAAAGGGACGGCUAACUACGUGCCAGCAGCCGCGGUAAUACGUAGGUCCCGAGCGUUGUCCGGAUUUAUUGGGCGUAAAGCGAGCGCAGGCGGUUAGAUAAGUCUGAAGUUAAAGGCUGUGGCUUAACCAUAAUACGCUUUGGAAACUGUUUAACUUGAGUGCAAGAGGGGAGAGUGGAAUUCCAUGUGUAGCGGUGAAAUGCGUAGAUAUAUGGAGGAACACCGGUGGCGAAAGCGGCUCUCUGGCUUGUAACUGACGCUGAGGCUCGAAAGCGUGGGGAGCAAACAGG